rnacentral:rRNA from 1 species
UACGUAGGGGGCAAGCGUUGUCCGGAUUUAUUGGGCGUAAAGAGCGUGUAGGCGGCCAGGUAGGUCUGCUGUGAAAACUCGAGGCUCAACCUCGAGAUGUCGACCGAAACCAUCUGGCUAGAGUCCGGGAGAGGAGAGUGGAAUUCCUGGUGUAGCGGUGAAAUGCGCAGAUAUCAGGAAGAACACCCGUGGCGAAAGCGGCUCUCUGGAACGGUACUGACGCUGAGACGCGAAAGCGUGGGGAGCGAACAGG